rnacentral:rRNA from 1 species
CCCUACGGGGCGCAGCAGUGAGGAAUAUUGGUCAAUGGGCGAGAGCCUGAACCAGCCAAGUCGCGUGAGGGAGUACUGCCCUAUGGGUUGUAAACCUCUUUUGUCGGGGAGCAAAAGCCGGACGUGUCCGGCUGUGAGAGUACCCGAAGAAAAAGCAUCGGCUAACUCCGUGCCAGCAGCCGCGGUCAUACGGAGGAUUCAAGCGUUAUCCGGAUUUAUUGGGUUUAAAGGGUGCGUAGGCGGUCGGAUAAGUUAGAGGUGAA